rnacentral:lncRNA from 1 species
CUACUCUGAAAUUAUUUGAGUGAUCACUGCUUGUUUUUCCUCUUCUAAAACACAGCUAAUUAGCAUCCUGGUUAAUUUUGGAUUUAGUGAUCAUGAUGGAAGACAUGGGUCUUACUGUGAGAAGAAGCAAGGCCUCCUUUGGAGCAUGAAGUAGGAGAGAGGUCUCAAAAUACAAAGGAGAAGAGACUUGCAGAGCCAGCACCAUAUUUUGGGACAAAAAAGUGAAUUACAGAGUAAGGAAGAAAGCGUGGAUAUGAAGGCAAGACAGGACAAAGAUGCAAGGCAGCAGGAAUUGUGUUAAGACGUGAAACCAGGAGGUCCUGCUAAAUUUAGAAGAGCUGAAGAGGAAAGAAUAACAUGAAGUAGAAGUACCAAGCAGGAAAGGAAAAGAUUGCAGCACUCAGCUUGGGACAGAGUAUGAACUUGUGGGUGCAGCACCUGUGAACUCAGACACCUUGACAACAAUCUGCCAGACGCAUUCUUGAUGGGAUGGGGGAGACCCAGACAACACAAACUCUCAGAAGGAGAAGAGUGAACAAAGCACAAGGCAGUGAUGGCAACCAAAACAGAUGAGAAGACUUUUGAGCUGCAGGGACUCAUCCCGUCUGACUGUGGUGGUGUGUGGGGAGCAGACCCCUCAGCGGUGGCCAGUGGUCCUGGAGUGUGGCGAGGAGGCACCAGGAGUCCAACACCCACUUCCUCCUCCUGCCAGUUCUGGUAGCUGUGCCCUGCCUGCCCGGUGGUCCCAUCACCAGCUCCUCACUCCCACUCGUUCCUGGAAUGUGGGAGUGCAUCACUACUGAGAGGUGAAACACAAGACUGCAGUUUUGUGUCCCCUGUUCCAUGGACAGGGCACAUUCUGUCCUGCGGAUGCAGGUGUGUGUCUGUGUUUGAGCUCUGCUUGAAUAAACAGGAGAGGGGAAGCUGGAGGGAGGCCCA